GUCAAAAAGCAAUGCACUCUCAUCUCUCUCAUCGAGUUCGGCAGCUUCAGCUUCGAGCCAUUUCUCUCGCAGAUCAUCCAAAACGUUUCCUUCAGCUGUGCUGCUCAUCUCAGCUCCUGGAGCACUUGGGGCAGUUGUACGAAGUGCAGAAUCGCCAGAUGGUGGUGGGAGGGUCAAAAGCAUUGCCCUAAACUCUUGGGUAUCCGCAAACGUCUCAAAGUUACAUGCCAUUGCGUCUAGACAAUACUCCCGAAUCUUUAUAACACCAUACAUGUCCGACAAU
rnacentral:misc_RNA from 1 species